rnacentral:rRNA from 1 species
ACAAGCGGUGGAGUAUGUGGUUUAAUUCGAUGCAACGCGAAGAACCUUACCUGGUCUUGACAUCCCGGAGACCCUUAGGAAACUAGGGGUGCUUCCAUCUGGAAGAAUCUGGAGACAGGUGCUGCAUGGCUGUCGUCAGCUCGUGCCGUGAGAUGUUGGGUUAAGUCCCGCAACGAGCGCAACCCUUGCCUUUAGUUGCCAGCAGUUCGGCUGGGCACUCUAAAGGGACUGCUGGUGUUAAACCGGAGGAAGGUGGGGAUGACGUCAAGUCCUCAUGGCCUUUAUGGCCAGGGCUACACACGUACUACAAUGGCCAAUACAAAGGGCAGCGACACUGCGAGGUGAAGCCAAUCCCGUAAAAUCGGUCUCAGUCCGGAUUGGAGUCUGCAACUCGACUCCAUGAAGUUGGAAUCGCUAGUAAUCGUGGAUCAGCAUGCCACGGUGAAUACGUUCCCGGGCCUU